rnacentral:rRNA from 1 species
UGGGGGAUAUUGCACAAUGGGCGAAAGCCUGAUGCCGCGACGCCGCGUGGGGGAUGAAGGCCUUCGGGUUGUAAACUUCUUUUGCUCUGAACAAGGCAUGCCUUUGGGGUGUGUUGAGUGUAGGGGUUGAUUAGCGCCGGCUAACUACGUUCCAUCAGCCGCGGUAAUACGUAGUGCGCGAGCUUUGUCCGGAAUUAUUGGGCGUAAAGGUCUUGUAUGUGGCUGGUUGCGUCUGUCGUGAAAGCUCAUGGCUUAACUGUGGGGUUGCGGUGGGUAAGGGAUGGCUUGAGUGCAGGAGGGGAGGGUGGAAUUCCUGGUGUAGCGGUGGAAUGCGCAGAUAUAAGGAGGAAUACCGGUGGCGAAGGCGGGUCUGUGGGAUGUUACUGACGCUGAGGAGCGAAAGAGUGGGGAGCGAACAGG